rnacentral:rRNA from 1 species
UACGUAGGGGGCAAGCGUUGUCCGGAAUCAUUGGGCGUAAAGCGCGCGUAGGCGGCCCGAUCAGUCCGCUGUAAAAGUCCAGGGCUCAACCCUGGAAAGCCGGUGGAUACUGUCGGGCUAGAGUCCGGAAGAGGCGAGUGGAAGUUCCUGGUGUAGCGGUGAAUGCGCAGAUAUCAGGAGGAACACCGAUAGCGAAGGCAGCUCGCUGGGACGGUACUGACGCUGAGGUGCGAAAGCGUGGGGAGCGAACAGG